AUUGAAGCUAGGACUGGGUCAUGUAUUCAAAAGCUACCUUUUGUCUUUUAUACAAGUAUUUUUAGACUAUUUUAGUAUGCAAAUUUACAGAUGUGUCUAUACUGUUGUACUUUGCUGAACGUGUUAUGUCAGAUUAAACAUGUGCUGAAUGUUUUUUAAUUACAACGCUUAGAAGAAAAUUCUAAAGCAUGUUGCCACACAGUUAAUAUGUGGGUUUAAAGGUUAUAUAUGCCCUGAUGAGAGGAACUGGCUAGGUUAUCAAGAUCCAUAUUUUAUUUUGAGGCAAGAAGGCUGAUGCAAGCCCUGAAGUGACCUGACAGUAUGCUGGCAAGUUUGUGAGAGUGACAGAAGCACCACUGCUCAUCACAUGAAUUCCUCCAGACACCCGGGCUCCAGCCUCCCUCCUAAGGCUUCAAACCUAAAGGCACACAGAAUAGUGUCCUACUGCUCCCCUAUUUCAGUGACCUCCCUGUGAGCCUUUCCCCCCGCUGUCAGAGUGCAGGGGUAUGACAGGAUGGACAGUGCACAUCCCAGUUCAGCACAGCACCGAGAACUCAAGGACUCCCUUUCAACAAGGCAGGUACGAGCAUCUUAUGCCCUGGGGGCUGAAUGCAUGGAAUGAAAUUCACAAUCUGCUCCAAGAAGAAAUGCAGUCUGUUCAUCACCAUGUGCAAGGCACUAAAAUCCUCUCCAGAAGUCUUCCUCAUAUUGGUCUGCAGUGCUUCUCUGUGCUGGAUGUACUUCUGUACAAACACACCAGUGCUUGACAAGAAAGAUCCACUGUCCAGAACUGUUCGACAUACAGCUGAAAGCAAGCCAGGUUUCUAUUUAAUAAAAAUGUGAGAAAAAAAACAACUUCUUUUGAUCUCUUCUCAUUUCACUAUAUGUUCUUGAAGUACCUAAAUACUGUUUAUUUACACUUGAAAUUGGUGCUGCUGAACUACGACAGCAGAGCUUUACUGAUGGUGUGAUUAACCUCAUCUCCCAUUUUGCACUCCAGACAGAAAAAGAUCAAAUUGGGAUUCUUACAAAUGGAUAUUUGGGGGCUCUGUGUACAAAAGCUUCCUGAAGUGCUGUGAAAAGUAUAAUAUUUAUUUCAAACUAUGCUGCUUCCAAUAACAAUCACACAUUUUUUCACAUUUUUCCUUUGAAAUUGUAGACAUAAGCCACAGAUCCCUGACAAAGGAAGAAGCUGUGUGCAUAGCAGCUGGAUAUCAAAUAUGACACCUGGAGGAGGAGGAGGAGGAAUAAAAAGAAGACAACAAACGUUCAGAAUAUUUCUUUGUUACACUAUCUGUUCUGCUGGACAGAGCACUUCACAGUUAUGACUACUUGAGACCUAAAAUAAUUACAAAUUCAUAUAUUACUUUCUGCCUCAGGCAUCUGGGUCUACUAUUUACAGAAAUUAAUAUAAAUGGGGUGUCAGUGAUUUGCCUGACUGGAAUAAACAUGCUCAAGCACAGAUAUCUGUGCAGAAUAUGCAGAGAAAUUUGAUAAAGAAGCAGAUGGCUUGCAAUUUUCUCCUUUUUAUUUCUUGCUCUAUCAGCACUAACAAGACUCAAGACACUGUUCCCAAGCUUGUAGGUUUUAAGUCUGGGUGCUAUCAUUUGUAACUUUCUAACAGGACUUUUCAAGGGGGGGAGCACUAAACUGAUGCCACUUCAGCACCACUUGUGAUCACUGAAGAAAAGGAUACUUAACACAAAGAGCAGGAAAUUAUUUGCUAAGGUUUAAUUUACAAACCUACCAACCGUGAUAUUCAGUCAUCAACUUGUUUUGCACAGCUGGUGCAGGUACAGGAAGAACAGCCACCCCUCCACCUUCCCAUUAGAACAGAGGGUCUAGUGAACAACACACCACAUCAGCGCACUGCUGCUGAGCAAUUUCCUUUCUGUUUUACUAACAACUUUCUCUACUUGGAAGCUGGAAGUUUCUCUUUUUCCACCGAUGAAAUUAGGGAGAAAAAACCUCACUGUUCACUGUGUCCUGAUGGAGGUGUGUAGUUGAGAUGAUUUUGUACAAUAUGUAUCUCAGCUGAAGAACUGUGUUACAUGAACUAGUGUCUCCUUUUUAUAUUUUUAUAUGGUUCUCAUCUCAGGUUUAGUGAAGGGGUUCCCCAUUCAACACAACAUGCACUGUGAAAACUUAACAUUGCUACAUACUCCAUACAUCUAGGAUGAUACUUUGAUCUUUACAGUGUUGUUCACAGACCUAUCAUCUCCCUAAAGGUCUUUCUGAUCCUCCCGACCCAUGUCAGUUCAAGACCUGCUACUUAUGAAGCUUGUCCUGAUUUUUCAGGCUUCCAGUUUUGGCCAGUGUAGGAGCCAAGCUGUCUGUUCUUACAGCCAGAGCUCAAAUGUGAUGGGGUCUCACCGUUACAAUUCCAUGUUCGAGGGAAGAAACAUUCCCAGUGGAAAUUCCCAGAAGCAGUUUUUGGGUUUGGGAAGUUGGACUCCAUAGAGAAAAUUCUAUGAAGCUUUAACAUUGUCCAUUCUUUUUUUUCAUCCUUUUUAUGAAUUCUACCCCAAACAUCAGACUUGUUGCUAAAGGAGUUUUUUUAUUCCGUGUUGUUAAAGUACUGUCAAGUGGGAUUGAAGCCAUUUGGCUUAAAUUCCCACUCAAAAUAAUACAGGUCCCCAGAUAGAAUAACACCCAUUCAGCUACUCCUGCAAUGCAAUUGAUAGCUUGUUUGCCAAUAAUUUCACAUGUGGACAUGUGCCAUAGUUAACAGAGCACAUGUGGAUCUCUUGUAGGAAUUCAGAGCCCAGUGAAUACAAGACAAAAAAGAGUAAAAUUGGAAGAGGAGAAAAAUACACAAAAAAGGAGAAGAGAUGAGAUACACUUCAAGAUAGAGCAGGUGUGCAGGUUCUUCUUGACCUUUGAUUUCCAAAAAGAGGAAUUCAGGAAGUGAGACGACUUUCUGUGAAUAGAUCAAAUACCCUGGAGAUAUAGAGGCCAAGAGAAAAAGGUUAUAGGCUCCUUCUUAUAAAUAAUUGAUUCAGCUGAUGAUCAAGUAAUGUACAAGAAGUUUAGUGGAGAGAAAGAAGGAGAAGGUUUAUUAUGCAGUAGAUAGAAAAGGCCAUUAUUUAAUUUCCUUCCAUGGUGCAUAAAUUGGGAGGGGCAUAUGCGAACACAGGGUUUAGUUUGUGAACUUUGUGAACUCUAGAAGUCCAUGUAUUCAGAAGUUGCUGCGUCCUGUGGCAAGCAGAUGAGCUUAUUGCACAGCAGAAUUUGGGUUCAUGGAAAGCUCCUCAAUUUCUAAAAUCAUAGAAAGCAAGAAUAAGCUACUGUUGGCAAUAUGGAGAUCAGGCUAGCCAUAGCAAAACCAAAUGCAUGUACUGGCCAGAUCAUAACCCAGAAAACUCAAUCCUGUUCAUUCCUUACUCAAAUGUGUGAUGAAAAAUGGAAUCCCCCCUCCCCUUCCAGCAGUCAUCCUGGGCCAGCAACAGCUUACUAUGCAUGUAGCAGCUGUCUUUUUUUUUUGGUAUUUCUUUCUUUUUUAUAGAUUUUUUUUUUUUAAUAAUUAGAAGAAAACUUGUCAUAAUGAUUAAUUGCAGAGGAAGUAAUGUAUUAAAUUGGUCAAUAUCGAAGUUAUUUGUCUCAGACACAAUACAGUGGUGUAUUAAUCAUGAAGAUUGGAAUAAAGUCCCUUUAUGGAUUCAUUAUGGACAUGAAUUAAAAACAUCUUUAAUUUGUCCCUACUAAAGCUCUGCAGAGCUUUAAGUGCUUCUAGAAUUUAAAUGAUUGCCACAACUGGUCUCAUGGAAAAGUCUGAGAAUAGAUUUUUUUUUAGUGCUGGAAGAGAUACAUGAGAACUGUUUUUCAUCUUAUUUGUGUAUAAAAUGUAAAUGCCACUGCAUUUAAUAUAGUAAGGUUACAUCAAUAUGGAGUAAAUGAACUAAAAGGGUCUUAGAACACAGUACUUAUUUCUACGCUUCACUAAAUUACAUUAUUCCUGGAGACCAGAAUUCCUAUCCCAUUUUCUUAUCAAAUCAGCUACACAUUAAAUGUCACAGAUUUUAAACCUGCUGGGUACUGUCAGGGUCCCUUCCCCCCUGCCAUGUAGCCCUGGGAGAGGGGCUCUGGGUGGGAGAGAUGGGCUUUCCCUGCCCCUGGUCAGCCUCGUUCCCCAUUGGUUGGUUUGUGUUCCCCUGCGGGGGCAAGGACCCUCGGGUCCCGUGAUUGCAGCAGUUCCUCGGCAGAUCCCGGCCAUGCGGCUGGAGAAAUAAACAUCCCUGAAACAUCUAUCGAGAAUCAGUCCAUAUAGAUUUCUUUCCCAGGGCCUUGUUGUUUGAUACAUCGUGUUACAGAAUCCCCACUGUAAGAAAUGGUGGCGAAUUGCGAGCAAAACAAUCCCCGAUCCCUAAGCGACUGGUUUGUGAGUAAAGAAACUUUGGAUUCCUCUUCUUGGUUUUGUUUUGCUAUUCCAUAUCUAAACCGUGGAGGAACCGUGGGAAGACUCUUGGCUCUCAGAGCCGCAUAUGGACAUUUAUCUUAAACUUGAAAUGAUUCUUGAAAAACGAUUUGUAAAAUUUAGCUUGAUUCAAGCUCAAAAG
rnacentral:lncRNA from 13 species